GAAAAGCAUGCAUGGGCCAAGAAGCCCAAACUCUUAAUCACCGAACCCGGUUCCCAUAUGCAUAACCCAGAUCUGGAAUCCCUAAUCUCAGAUACACCACCAAGAAAACGCGUUCACCAUUCUUGCGUCCUUUUCCUGAGAUCCAAAGUCCAAAAACGACAUACAUGAUCCAUGGCCUGGCUCAGUUUCGUGUAAACGGCGUGUGAAUGACGCAACCAACGCGUAUCCGGAUUUCAACUUCUCCAUCAAAGAAAAUGCGAACUCCGAUCGAAUCCAUGAGGAAAUUGAAACAUCACCAUCGAAGUGGAAAUCGAGAAACAAAGUCUUUGCGCACAAAGUAGAAGCAAAUUAAGGAGAAGAAAAGACGAACCAGAUUCAGUGCACUACUUGGAUCUUCCCCUUUGAUCGUUCCUAUUCAUGUCGCCGCAGUCGUCGACCUGCCGUGUUCCGCUAUUAUGCGUGAUGCUGAUUUGCCGUUCAUGGUGAAAAGUGAAGCUCGGUUUGUGCGUUCCUCAAGGUGUGCGUUCCUCAAGGUGUGCGUUCGUUCUACGUUGCGAUGAAGAAAGAAGACUUCGCUCGAAUCGCUGUUGUUAUGGAGCUUGAUAAAGCACUUGAAGAGUUAUGCCAAAACGGAUCGAAUAAUUGUUGAUAACCUUGCUUUAAAGAACAAGAGGUCUCACUUGUAGUGAAACUUGGUCAUUUAGAAGAAGCAUGAUAUUACUUCCCAUGAGUGAUGAUUAUAGUUACUAAGAGGGCCCUUCCAAAACUUGUGCAUUCAUUGUGUUUAUCAAACUACUGAAAUUAGAAACACUCAUGCGAGUAAAUUGUAUUGGCUUUCUGUAGAAUUGGAAAUAGGUUAUGUAUGAAUCAAUGUAUGGACAUGCUUGUAGUUUUGAUGUAAUUUUAACAUUGUGUGAAGUUGGAAUUUGAAAUGGUUAUGUAACUUUGAAAUUGGAAUUGGUUUGACAUUGGUUCAUAUAUUUGGAAAUGGAAAUUGAUAUUUUGGUUGAA